UACGGGGGGGGGCAAGCGUUGUUCGGAAUUACUGGGCGUAAAGGGCUCGUAGGCGGCCAACUAAGUCGGAUGUGAAAUCCCCAGGCUUAACCUGGGAACUGCAUCCGAUACUGGAUGGCUUGAAUCCGGGAGAGGGAUGCAGAAUUCCAGGUGUAGCGGUGAAAUGCGUAGAUAUCUGGAGGAACACCGGUGGCGAAGGCGGCAUCCUGGACCGAUACUGACGCUGAGGAGCGAAAGCCAGGGGAGCAAACGGG
rnacentral:rRNA from 1 species